AAAUUGAGCACAUUGGGUACUCGAAGCUCUCUCUGAAAAUUCUGGAUAGAAUGUUAGGGACAACAGAAACUGAGGCCAAGGCUUUCCUUCCUGAGCAUUGGGUCCCCAUGCCAGUCCCUGCCUGGCAUGUUUCUUUGAUGUUUCCAAGGGUCCAACUCUAGGGCUUUCUCAAGGGAGGGUCCCCCUUUGGGCACAGAACUUUGUGGAGAGCCUAUCAGCAGGGUCUCUGCUCAGCCAAAAGUUCUUCCUGGCUGCCUUCCAUGGACAGACCUAUGACAUCGAACAUGACUUCUGGUAUCUACAACCCCUUGUAAUAGCCACAAAUCGAGCCAAGACCCCACCCCAAAUCUCUUCCUAACAGGCAUAAUGCCUCGUGAUGCUAGGACUUGAAUUUCCCAGGAGUUCCUCUUCUGUUCCCUUCUUUUCCUUAAGCCCUCUGCCUCUCACUAAGAACCUCAAUUCCUUCAUCCCUGUCCUAUAUACUGUGCAGUAGCACCUGUAGUUCUUCAGUCCAUUUUGAUUAAAAAUGUGACUACUGCCACCUUGCUCCAGCACCAAGACUGGUUUCCCAGCUUUGGCCAGGACAACUGCUACUACCAAGCCCCCAAUACCAGUAUCAAUCAUCACUGCAUCCAGCUGCUUUGGCACCCGGGCGAUGGCAACACAAGGGCAGAAGAGAGGGAGACAGCAUCUCAGACUGUACCAGGGGCUCAGGAAGGAAGGCAUGGGAACAAAGUAAGAGUCACCGACUUUAUACAACAUGAAAAGUCACUAUGGGCAUUGAGUCUCUAUCUCAAAAGCAGCGAGACACAUCAUUGAAAUAGGAGUGAUCUGUUCCAACAGAACAUUUUUCCUCUCUGCCAAGCAAGACCUGUAUGAAUAGACCAGAGUGAGCUGGGAAAGGCAAAGGUGAGCCCAAGCAAUAACAUCAUUCCGUGAUGAACCAGGGACCAGCAAAGGAGAAGGGAAGAAGGUACAACCUAGUGACUUGCACAUAAUAACCCUGAACGAAUGUUUGCUGAAUGGAAUAAGCACAGCUGAUGUACACUGCUGUACAAUUAUUGUGCCUAAAUAAAGAUAGAGCCUGGAUACCCUGAAGGCUUUAAAGGAAUUCAGGUAUGAACUUCAUGGCCAUUAUGGUAUCAAUUCUUGGUCAGUCAUUAUAGUAAUUGCAACUUCAGAAAUUAGAAACAUGAGUCAGAAGUCUAAGCUCAAGGGUUAGAUUAUACUCUUCUUUUCUGUCAGCCUUCUAAAUUGCUACAGCAUUGUUCAGGUAAGGAAACUGAGGCCCAGAGAAGAGAUUUGAAUUUAUGACUGUCUGGACUCCAGAAGCAGAACUCUACUCUUGCUCCUCUUAACUGCAUCACUCCCACCUCAGACUGCUUUUUUAAAAUUAAAUCUCUUUAAUUUUCAAAAGAUACGCAUGGAUCAUUUUUGACAUGAACCUGUGCAAAAUCUUGU
rnacentral:lncRNA from 1 species